GACUUGAGGUGUUUCUUCAUGUCAGAGGUUGAAGAAACCUUUGGCAUCCUUAGAUUUAAAAGAGGAGAAUUUGGUCUUUUUAUUGUCCAUGCUUCUGAAAGAUAUGGUCUUGCUAUAUCUCUCUUCUUAUCAUCAUCAUUUUUUUCGCCGUCGUCAUCAUCGUCACCGUCACCGUCACCAUCGUCGUCGUCUUCUUCUUCGGGACCUUGUUUGUUUAUUUGAGUUCUAAGCCUUUGUAAACCAGGUACCAACUUCACCAUUUGAGGGCUCAAAUUUUCUCUCUUAAAUUCAAACCCUAAAUCCAUAAACCCUUUCACUUCCUCAAGUUCCAACUCCCCCAAGCUUUUACAACUUACAGAUUUGUUCAAUUUUCUCCCUACUGAGAAUUUGAGAUUGUUGAGGCUUUCAUCG
rnacentral:misc_RNA from 1 species